rnacentral:rRNA from 1 species
AAUCUAUUUUUAACCCAAACCUUCAAAACUUACCUUUUAGUAAAAAGGCUAAAAUUUAACUUAAAGACAAGAAGACCCUGUAAAACUUUACACUUCCCGUUUUACUCAAACUUUAAAGUGUUCAGCUGGGGCGGCAGAGAAACCAACACUCUUGAAAUUAAAUAAUAACCAUUACAAUACCCAAAAAUUUUGAAAUCUAAACAAGCUACUUCAGGGAUAACAGCGUUAUCCACUCUAAGAGAUCUUAUUAACGAGUGUGUUUGCGACCUCGAUGUUGGAUUGAGUAAUCUUUUUUCUGCAAAAGGAAAAAAAAGCAGGUCUGUUCGACCUUUAAAUACCCCCA